rnacentral:rRNA from 1 species
AGCGUACACGGUGGAUGCCCUGGCAGUCAGAGGCGAUGAAGGACGUGCUAAUCUGCGAUAAGCGUCGGUAAGGUGAUAUGAACCGUUAUAACCGGCGAUUUCCGAAUGGGGAAACCCAGUGUGUUUCGACACACUAUCAUUAACUGAAUCCAUAGGUUAAUGAGGCGAACCGGGAGAACUGAAACAUCUAAGUACCCCGAGGAAAAGAAAUCAACCGAGAUUCCCCCAGUAGCGGCGAGCGAACGGGGAGCAGCCCAGAGCCUGAAUCAGUGUGUGUGUUAGUGGAAGCGUCUGGAAAGGCGCGCGAUACAGGGUGACAGCCCCGUACACAAAAAUGCACAUGCUGUGAGCUCGAUGAGUAGGGCGGGACACGUGGUAUCCUGUCUGAAUAUGGGGGGACCAUCCUCCAAGGCUAAAUACUCCUGACUGACCGAUAGUGAACCAGUACCGUGAGGGAAAGGCGAAAAGAACCCCGGCGAGGGGAGUGAAAAAGAACCUGAAACCGUGUACGUACAAGCAGUGGGAGCACGCUUAGGCGUGUGACUGCGUACCUUUUGUAUAAUGGGUCAGCGACUUAUAUUCUGUAGCAAGGUUAACCGAAUAGGGGAGCCGAAGGGAAACCGAGUCUUAACUGGGCGUUAAGUUGCAGGGUAUAGACCCGAAACCCGGUGAUCUAGCCAUGGGCAGGUUGAAGGUUGGGUAACACUAACUGGAGGACCGAACCGACUAAUGUUGAAAAAUUAGCGGAUGACUUGUGGCUGGGGGUGAAAGGCCAAUCAAACCGGGAGAUAGCUGGUUCUCCCCGAAAGCUAUUUAGGUAGCGCCUCGUGAAUUCAUCUCCGGGGGUAGAGCACUGUUUCGGCAAGGGGGUCAUCCCGACUUACCAACCCGAUGCAAACUGCGAAUACCGGAGAAUGUUAUCACGGGAGACACACGGCGGGUGCUAACGUCCGUCGUGAAGAGGGAAACAACCCAGACCGCCAGCUAAGGUCCCAAAGUCAUGGUUAAGUGGGAAACGAUGUGGGAAGGCCCAGACAGCCAGGAUGUUGGCUUAGAAGCAGCCAUCAUUUAAAGAAAGCGUAAUAGCUCACUGGUCGAGUCGGCCUGCGCGGAAGAUGUAACGGGGCUAAACCAUGCACCGAAGCUGCGGCAGCGACGCUUAUGCGUUGUUGGGUAGGGGAGCGUUCUGUAAGCCUGUGAAGGUGUGCUGUGAGGCAUGCUGGAGGUAUCAGAAGUGCGAAUGCUGACAUAAGUAACGAUAAAGCGGGUGAAAAGCCCGCUCGCCGGAAGACCAAGGGUUCCUGUCCAACGUUAAUCGGGGCAGGGUGAGUCGACCCCUAAGGCGAGGCCGAAAGGCGUAGUCGAUGGGAAACAGGUUAAUAUUCCUGUACUUGGUGUUACUGCGAAGGGGGGACGGAGAAGGCUAUGUUGGCCGGGCGACGGUUGUCCCGGUUUAAGCGUGUAGGCUGGUUUUCCAGGCAAAUCCGGAAAAUCAAGGCUGAGGCGUGAUGACGAGGCACUACGGUGCUGAAGCAACAAAUGCCCUGCUUCCAGGAAAAGCCUCUAAGCAUCAGGUAACAUCAAAUCGUACCCCAAACCGACACAGGUGGUCAGGUAGAGAAUACCAAGGCGCUUGAGAGAACUCGGGUGAAGGAACUAGGCAAAAUGGUGCCGUAACUUCGGGAGAAGGCACGCUGAUAUGUAGGUGAAGUCCCUCGCGGAUGGAGCUGAAAUCAGUCGAAGAUACCAGCUGGCUGCAACUGUUUAUUAAAAACACAGCACUGUGCAAACACGAAAGUGGACGUAUACGGUGUGACGCCUGCCCGGUGCCGGAAGGUUAAUUGAUGGGGUUAGCGGUAACGCGAAGCUCUUGAUCGAAGCCCCGGUAAACGGCGGCCGUAACUAUAACGGUCCUAAGGUAGCGAAAUUCCUUGUCGGGUAAGUUCCGACCUGCACGAAUGGCGUAAUGAUGGCCAGGCUGUCUCCACCCGAGACUCAGUGAAAUUGAACUCGCUGUGAAGAUGCAGUGUACCCGCGGCAAGACGGAAAGACCCCGUGAACCUUUACUAUAGCUUGACACUGAACAUUGAGCCUUGAUGUGUAGGAUAGGUGGGAGGCUUUGAAGUGUGGACGCCAGUCUGCAUGGAGCCGACCUUGAAAUACCACCCUUUAAUGUUUGAUGUUCUAACGUUGACCCGUAAUCCGGGUUGCGGACAGUGUCUGGUGGGUAGUUUGACUGGGGCGGUCUCCUCCUAAAGAGUAACGGAGGAGCACGAAGGUUGGCUAAUCCUGGUCGGACAUCAGGAGGUUAGUGCAAUGGCAUAAGCCAGCUUGACUGCGAGCGUGACGGCGCGAGCAGGUGCGAAAGCAGGUCAUAGUGAUCCGGUGGUUCUGAAUGGAAGGGCCAUCGCUCAACGGAUAAAAGGUACUCCGGGGAUAACAGGCUGAUACCGCCCAAGAGUUCAUAUCGACGGCGGUGUUUGGCACCUCGAUGUCGGCUCAUCACAUCCUGGGGCUGAAGUAGGUCCCAAGGGUAUGGCUGUUCGCCAUUUAAAGUGGUACGCGAGCUGGGUUUAGAACGUCGUGAGACAGUUCGGUCCCUAUCUGCCGUGGGCGCUGGAGAACUGAGGGGGGCUGCUCCUAGUACGAGAGGACCGGAGUGGACGCAUCACUGGUGUUCGGGUUGUCAUGCCAAUGGCACUGCCCGGUAGCUAAAUGCGGAAGAGAUAAGUGCUGAAAGCAUCUAAGCACGAAACUUGCCCCGAGAUGAGUUCU